rnacentral:rRNA from 1 species
GACUGAAGUCCUUGAAGCCGCAAGGCAGAUAGGAUGGAUGACUGGGUGUCUAGCGGCAAACGGGUGAGUAACGCGUGGGUAAUCUGCCCUUGAGUGGGGGAUAACAACCCGAAAGGGUUGCUAAUACCGCAUAAGCCCACAGCUUCGAAAGGAGCAGUGGGAGAAGCCGGGGACCGUAAGGCCUGGCGCUUAAGGAUGAGCCCGCGUCCCAUCAGCUAGUUGGUAGGGUAAUGGCCUACCAAGGCGAUGACGGGUAGCUGGCUUGAGAGGGUGGUCAGCCACACUGGGACUGAGACACUGCCCAGACUCCUACGGGAGGCUGCAGUCGAGGAUAUUUUCCAAUGGGCGAAAGCCUGAGAAUGCGACGCCGCGUGCGGGAUGAAGGCCUUCGGGUCGUAAACCGC